UACGGAGGGUGCAAGCGUUAUCCGGAAUGAUUGGGCGUAAAGCGUCCGCAGGUGGCAGUUCAAGUCUGCUGUCAAAGACCGGGGCUCAACCUCGGAAAGGCAGUGGAAACUGAACAGCUAGAGUAUGGUAGGGGCAGAGGGAAUUCCUGGUGUAGCGGUGAAAUGCGUAGAGAUCAGGAAGAACAUCGGUGGCGAAGGCGCUCUGCUGGACCAUAACUGACGCUCAGGGACGAUAGCUUGGGGAGCGAAUAGG
rnacentral:rRNA from 1 species